GGUGAAGAACGCAGCGAAAUGCGAUAAGUAAUGUGUAUUGCAGAAUUCAGUGAAUCAUCGAAUCUUUGAACGCACAUUGCGCCCGCCAGUAUUCUGGCGGGCAUGCCUGUCUGAGCGUCAUUUCAACCCUCAUGCCCCUAGGGCGUGGUGUUGGGGAUCGGCCAAAGCCCGCGAGGGACGGCCGGCCCCUAAAUCUAGUGGCGGACCCGUCGUGGCCUCCUCUGCGAAGUAGUGAUAUUCCGCAUCGGAGAGCGAUGAGCCCCUGCCGUUAAACCCCCAACUUUCCAAGGUUGACCUCAGAUCAGGUAGGAAUACCCGCUGAACUUAAGCAUAUCAAUAAGCGGAGA
rnacentral:misc_RNA from 1 species